rnacentral:tRNA from 1 species
CCUUUCGUGGUGUAAUGGUCAGCACACUCGGCGCGUAUUCGAGAGGUCCGAGGUUCGAGUCCCGGUGAGGGCA